CAGACCUCAUCCAGGCCUCAGUUCUAUGUGAACAGAGGCCUGGAUGAGAUUUGUGGCAAAAGUGUUUGUAAAUAGAGGAAGCAAAGGCUUCGGCCUUCCCUCUGUUUGCAAAGUCAUUUGCUGUGGAUGUCAUCCAGGCCUCUGUUUGCAGAGAACUGAGACCUAGAGUACAGCAAGAUCACACGAGAUCUGCUACUGAUCUUCCAUGAUCUCACGGUAUUUUAGACCUCAGUUCUCUGCGAAUGCACCAAAACAGGCAAAGAAACUGAAGGGUUGCUAGAUCUUCACAAGAUGCUGUCAGUCAACCAAAGAUUAGCCAAGUCUGGUGAACAGAACUCAGGGGCAAUCAUAUCAAGAGCUGGGGCCUUCUUCUAUUCUCAGGAGUUAAUCAGACACUUGACAAGACGAACAUAGAAGCUAGUGGAUCCCACUGAGUUUGUUCUGUGUGCCAUGGUGAAUUACACUUUGUAACAGAGAUAUCCAUGGUAAAGAAAGACAAAAUACGAGUCAUGAUGCAGACAUAGACCCUUACACACUCAUGUGCAAUUUUGUCAUGUUGUGAUUCAGAAUG